CGUACCCUGAAGAGCUGCAAGUGCCUGACUUUGAGACUGGGAGGAGAGGUGGCUGCUCGUUGUGUUUAUUUUUGCUUUACUGCAGUAUUGACAGCUUUGUCAUCUAAAAAUCUUUACCUUUUAAGUAACUGGGAGUAAGGGGGAGAAAAAUAAAUGGCUGUUAUAUCAGU